GUGAGGAAUAUUGCGCAAUGGGGGAAACCCUGACGCAGCGAUGCCGCGUGGGUGAAGAAGGCCCUCGGGUCGUAAAGCCCUGUCAGGCGGGAAGAAUGGGUUCCUGGUGAAUAGCCAGGAGCUGUGACGGUACCGCCGAAGGAAGCACCGGCUAACUCCGUGCCAGCAGCCGCGGUAAGACGGAGGGUGCGAGCGUUAUUCGGAAUUAUUGGGCGUAAAGAGCGUGUAGGCGGCCGGUUAAGUCAGGCGUGAAAGCCCAGGGCUCAACCCUGGAAGUGCGCUUGAUACUGGUCGGCUUGAGUCCGGGAGAGGGAAGCGGAAUUCCGGGUGUAGAGGUGAAAUUCGUAGAUAUCCGGAGGAACACCGGUGGCGAAGGCGGCUUCCUGGACCGAGACUGACGCUGAGACGCGAAAGCGUGGGGAGCAAACAGGAUUAGAAACCCUAGUAGUCC
rnacentral:rRNA from 1 species